CCUACGGGAGGCAGCAGUGAGGAAUAUUGGUCAAUGGACGAGAGUCUGAACCAGCCAAGUAGCGUGAAGGAUGACUGCCCUAUGGGUUGUAAACUUCUUUUAUAUGGGAAUAAAAUGUUCCACGUGUGGGAUUUUGUAUGUACCAUAUGAAUAAGGAUCGGCUAACUCCGUGCCAGCAGCCGCGGUAAUACGGAGGAUCCGAGCGUUAUCCGGAUUUAUUGGGGUUAAAGGGAGCGUAGGUGGAUUGUUAAGUCAGUUGUGAAAGUUUGCGGCUCAACCGUAAAAUUGCAGUUGAAACUGGCAGUCUUGAGUACAGUAGAGGUGGGCGGAAUUCGUGGUGUAGCGGUGAAAUGCUUAGAUAUCACGAAGAACUCCGAUUGCGAAGGUAGUUCACUGGACUGCAACUGACACUGAGGCUCGAAAGUGUGGGUAUCAAACAGGAUUAGAUACCCUAGUAGUC
rnacentral:rRNA from 1 species